rnacentral:rRNA from 1 species
AUUGAACGCUGGCGGCAUGCCUUACACAUGCAAGUCGAACGGCAGCGGACCUUCGGUGCCGGCGAGUGGCGAACGGGUGAGUAAUAUAUCGGAACGUACCUUUCAGUGGGGGAUAACGUAGCGAAAGUUACGCUAAUACCGCAUAUUCUGUGAGCAGGAAAGCAGGGGAUCGCAAGACCUUGCGCUGAUUGAGCGGCCGAUAUCAGAUUAGCUAGUUGGUGAGGUAAAGGCUCACCAAGGCGACGAUCUGUAGCGGGUCUGAGAGGAUGAUCCGCCGCACUGGAACUGAGACACGGUCCAGACUCCUACGGGAGGCAGCAGUGGGGAAUUUUGGACAAUGGGCGCAAGCCUGAUCCAGCCAUGCCGCGUGAGUGAAGAAGGCCU